GGUUUCUGUAAACUUUAAAAGUCCUAAUAUUUUAUAAAUUCUAUUUGUAGCACUGUUUAAAUCUUUCUAAAUCAAUUUCCUUAUAAUCCAUUUUGUACAUCAUGGGUGUCGAGGAAGCUUUGACCCUUAAACCUGAAAAAUUCAAUGGUCACGGGUUCUUUAGAUGGCAGGAAUAACUUAAAGUCUAGUUAAUCACACUUGGCCUAAUCACUGCCAUUGAAAAAAGACCACCUUAUGAUGUAUC
rnacentral:lncRNA from 1 species